UGGGGAAUAUUGCGCAAUGGGCGAAAGCCUGACGCAGCGACGCCGCGUGGAGGAUGAAGGUCUUAGGAUUGUAAACUCCUGUCGGAUGGAAAGAAAAGUUUGUAUUUAAUAGAUACAAAAUAUGACGGUACCAUCAGAGGAAGCACCGGCUAACUUCGUGCCAGCAGCCGCGGUAAUACGAAGGGUGCAAGCGUUAUUCGGAAUCACUGGGCGUAAAGGGUGUGUAGACGGUUCAUUAAGUUCGUUGUUAAAGGCUCUGGCCUAACCGGAGUAUUGCGAUGAAAACUGGUGAGCUAGAGAGUGAGAGAGAGAAGUGGAAUUCCCGGAGUAGCGGUAAAAUGCGUGGAUCUCGGGAGGAACACCAAUGGCGAAGGCAGCUUCUUGGCUCAUUUCUGACGUUGAGGCACGAAAGCGUGGGGAGCAAACA
rnacentral:rRNA from 1 species